GCUCGUCUCUGUGUUUAUCCGGGUGGGCACUGAAGACUGAUACACUGAGAUUCCAGUUGAGCUUCAUCAAUGAGGGUACUUUACUUUAUCUACAUUGUCUGGCUCUUGGCAGCUGCAGGUUUCACUUCCCACAUCAAGUUCAGAAUAAGUUCAGUAACCACAAAGGAACCCCAAAUCGCCAAGACAAGGAUGUCUGAUGACACCAAAUUCCUGAGGAAAAUCUGGGGGAAUGACACUCUGGUAUGUUUCGAUAAGCAAGGCAACUGUUAUGACAUUUGUCCACGCCAGAAAAAGGAGAUUGGAAGCUGUGCCGAGAAAGUACUAAAGUGUUGCGUGCUAAAAGAAAUGAAACAAAAGCAAAAGAAGAUAAAGGGAUGAAGAAGAU